CCUACGGGGUGCUGCAGUGGGGGAUAUUGCACAAUGGGGGGAACCCUGAUGCAGCGACGCCGCGUGGAUGAAGAAGCGCCUCGGCGCGUAAAGCCCUGUCAGCAGGGAAGAAAAUGACGGUACCUGAAGCAGAAGCCCCGGCUAACUACGGGCCAGCAGCCGCGGUAAUACGUAGGGGGCCAGCGUUAUCCGGAGUUACUGGGUGUAAAGGGGGCGCAGACGGCGAUGCAAGCCAGGAGUGAAAGCCCGGGGCGCAACCCCGGGACCGCGCUUGAAACUGCGUGGCGGGAGUGCAGGAGGGGCAGGCGGAAUGCCUGGUGUAGCGGUGAAAUGCGUAGAGAUACGGAGGAACACCAGUGGCGAAGGCGGAUUGCUGGACAGUAACUGACGCUGAGGCGCGAAAGCGUGGGGAGCAAACAGGAUUAGAUACCCUAGUAGUC
rnacentral:rRNA from 1 species